rnacentral:lncRNA from 1 species
CCAAAUCAAUUACAUUGUUCGCCCUAAAAUUAAAUUUAACUACGCAUAUUAAUAAGAGAAAAACAAAAAUUUAUGGAAGACAUCACAAAAUUAAUUGACGGAAUAUGAAUAAUUUGCAAAAAGUAAAUCUGCCUUUUUUUGCGAGUUGCCGUCUCUUUGUGUUUUUAUCUCUUUCGGUUUUCAGUGCGCGUAACCAAAUAAGAAAUUUCAACAACCUGGUCUCAAUAUUUGUAGCCCAAUUUCUGCCUUCCACUGCGUGGAAUGUAGAUAUAUUAAUAGCAGCAAAAAUUAUUCCUCUGACCAAAAUUUGUAAAAUUUUAAUAUUGCGGCUGCCUCUCCAAUUCCCAAAAAUUAUUCCUCUGACCAAAAUUUGUAAAAUUAUAAUAUUGCGGCUGCCUCUCCAAUUCCCAACGUGGGUGUGAAUACGAUCUCAGCCUCAAAUGAGUCAAAUAUAAAAUAUUGGCUGCCUCUUAAAUCCCUUCUCUCCCAAUUUUUUCUCUGCGUUUUCUGUGAU